UAGGGAAUCUUCGGCAAUGGACGAAAGUCUGACCGAGCAACGCCGCGUGAGUGAAGAAGGUUUUCGGAUCGUAAAACUCUGUUGUUAGAGAAGAACAAGGACGUUAGUAACUGAACGUCCCCUGACGGUAUCUAACCAGAAAGCCACGGCUAACUACGUGCCAGCAGCCGCGGUAAUACGUAGGUGGCAAGCGUUGUCCGGAUUGAUUGGGCGUAAAGCGAGCGCAGGCGGUUUCUUAAGUCUGAUGUGAAAGCCCCCGGCUCAACCGGGGAGGGUCAUUGGAAACUGGGAGACUUGAGUGCAGAAGAGGAGAGUGGAAUUCCAUGUGUAGCGGUGAAAUGCGUUGGUAUAUGGGGGAACACCAGUGGCGGAGGCGGCUCUCUGGUCUGUAACUGCCGCUGAGGCUCGAAAGCGUGGGGAGCAAACAGG
rnacentral:rRNA from 1 species